rnacentral:rRNA from 1 species
AAUACGGAGGAUGCAAGCGUUAUCCGGAAUUAUUGGGCGUAAAGCGUCCGCAGGUGGUUGGUCAAGUCUGCUGUCAAAGCGUGGAGCUUAACUCCAUAAGGGCGGUGGAAACUGAUUAACUAGAGGA